rnacentral:snoRNA from 1 species
AGACUCUGUCUCAAAAAAAAAGGAAAGAGGAGGCAGAGUGAAGCUACCCCAUGUACACCCCAGUCCAGGCCCUCUGCCUGGUCUGUAUUGUGAAUGGGGAAACAUGG